UAGAAUCGAUCUUGAUAAAUUUUAGGUUAAAUGUAAAGGGCUCUGUGAUCAAGGCUAGUCGAUGUUACUUAGGGCAACCACAAAAAUGCGUCGCUAAACUACUGCAAGAGAGGUCCUCAAAAAAGUCAGAGAUGGAGUGGACAUGGACUCUUGAGUCAUAUCCAAGAAAUAGACCUCUAUAGUCUUCAACGUCUCUCAUCCUACCUCUGCCCCGAGGAAAGGAUAUGGAUCUGCAUAAUGUAAUCUGGUUCAAGGUGCACUGCAAGAUCCUACCAUACUAAGUGGCCUUUUGAUGUGAUUAUCUUAGCAAAGUUUGAACACCGACAUGAAAUAAGGGUUGCAAAGUAAAGAGCUGUAGCAUCUACAUAAACUGCAAAACUCAUGGCACCUGGACUUUCAUACCUAAGGUCUUAUUCAUCUCUUCAAGUUGAAAAGAUUCUAGACUGCAGAGCCUGAAUUCCCUGCAACAUUAUGCUUCAUGUGGAACAUCAGCCAGCCUACAGAUACAAGCUCCCUUUCCAGCUCUAAGCAAGAGGGACCAUAAUGCUAAACAGUUCGUGGACAUGUCGCUUUUUUCAACUACGACUUCCAUUGAAACAGAUUUUCAAAUUAAUUCAUCUGAAGGUAUUAAAUAUGCUUCAGUCAAGGUACCAUCAGUUUGCCAUCAGUUUGCCAUGAGUAUGAGAUUACUGGUUUCAUAAGAAUUCAUCAAGUAAGGUCUAAAGGAAAUAAGAUUUUCAAUGAUACUCCCAAGAAUUCUAUUAUUUAAAUAGAAUGUCAUAAUCUUGCAGAAGAAAGAGCAAAAUACUAGUUAUAGUUGAAGGAUAAAACUACAGUCAUUAUCCAUAUAAAGUUAGCGCUGCUAUUUCAGCCUGCACUUUCGAGAAAUAUGUUGUUAUUAAAGGGUUGUUGCUGAAUUUAAAAUCUAUGAUUCUGUCAUGGAGGUUUACUGUUUUUAAACUUACUUUACUUAGACAAAUCCGUUCAUGGUGAUGAAUCUUAAAAUAUCAAAUUGGAAAUUCCAAAGAGGCAAAUUAAUCUAAGCAGCAGUGGACCAAUUUGAGGGCCCGUUUAGAACUGUUCCUAGAGGUUCUGUUGGCAUGACCAUGUGUUGAUAAUUACCUGUCGAUAUCUCAAUUGUAUAUUCUUAUCAAUUGCCAAAGAACAAAUU